UUUUUUUUUUUUUUUUUUGUCUUUUGUCUUUUUGUUGUUGUUGUUGUUGUUGUUGUUGUUGCUAUUUCUUGGGCCGCUUCCGCGGCAUAUGGAGGUUCCCAGGCUAGGGGUCGAAUCGGAGCUGUAGCCACUGGCCUACGCCAGAGCCACAGCAACGCGGGAUCCGAGCCGCAUCUGCAACCUAUACCACAGCUCACGGCAACGCCGGAUCGUUAACCCACUGAGCAAGGGCAGGGACCGAACCCGCAACCUCAUGGUUCUUAGUCGGAUUCGUUAACCACUGCGCCACGACGGGAACUCCUGUUUGUUUGUUUUGGGGCUGUACCUAUGGCAUAUGGAAGUUCCCAGGCCAGGGAUCAAAUCCAAACCCCAGCUGUGACCUAUGCCACAGCUGCAGCAAUGCCAGAUCCCUAACCCACUCACCAGGCUUGGGAUCUUCCCUCUCCUUUGUCCUUCCCUUAGACUGAAAGUGUUCUCGGUGCAUGUGUCAGGACAGGAAAGCCACAACAUGUACCCGAUCAGGGCCCAGUGGUCCCACUGGUAUCCCAUCUCAAAGCAUCACCAGGGAUCAGCUGCAGCUGCUCAGCCUGAGGUCUGUAUAUGUCCUUCCUCAUUCUGUUUUGAAAGAUAUAAAGGUUUAAUGCAAGGAACAUAAAAACAGGAAUAAGAAUUGGGUUCUAGAACUGGCUCUGCUACCAUUAUCAUAGAACACAAUCCAGUUUACCUGAUUAAGGUGAGUGUCAUCGGUUGAAAACCUGCUACAAUACACUUUUAUUCUGGCACAAGUAUUCAGAUAUUAGCAGACUGAUUUUACUUGUGCUGUACAAUUUCAUUCAACAGAAAGUUCCUGCUGCUAAAAUGAAAGAGUAAAAUGAAAUGUAAGAAUGUUACAAAAUAAACUUGUUAAUCUUUUUUUUUUCCCCUUAUGGUCUCCCCCGCAGCAUAUGGAAGUUCCCAGGCUAAGGGUCGAAUCGGAGCUGCAAGUGCUGGCCUACACCAUAGCCGCAGCAACACCAGAUCUGAACUGCGUCUGCAACCAGCAUCACAGCUUGUGGCAACAAAGGAUUCUUAACCUAAGCAAGGCCAGGGAUCGAACCCACAUCUUCAUGGAUAGUAGUUGGGCUCUUAACCUGCUGAGCCUCAAUGGGAACUCCAAACUUGUUAAUCAUCAGUGAGAUGAAGUAUAGUACAGCAAGAAUCUGCAUCAAUGAAUUACUAUCAUCUGUAGAUAUGUAAUAAAUGGUUCCCAUCUAUCAGGUACUAUGCUAGAUGCUUUAUAUGUUAAAUACUCAUUAACCCUCAAAACAAAUAAGUGAUAGAUGUAUGAUUAACAGUACUUUAUGGCUGAUGAAACAAAUUCAUGGAGCUUACAUCACAUGCAUGUAUUGCCAUAGCUAGAGUAGUAGAAGUGGUAUUUGUAGAAACAUCUCUCUGUCUCUCAGAGCACUUGCUCUUAUUCACUGUUACAGACAGCUUUUUGGUCUCAUCCUAAAUAUAUCAUUUAGAGACCAAAUUUCGUAACUUAUUGAGAAGAAUUAGCAAAACAUUCUGAGGUAUUUCAACAAUUAAUGAGGCCAAUAAUUUGGAAGGGAAUGGAUAAUUUCUCAUCUUAAAAAUGACAUAAGCAAUGAAAGUAUAAGAUAUUAAAUAAGUAUUUUAAGUUUUUCUUUAAUGAUUUUUACUUUUUCCAUUACAGUUGAUGUACAGUGUUCUGUCAGUUUCUACUGAACAACAAAGUGACCCAGUCAUUCAUAUAUACGUACAUUCUUUUUCUCACAGUAUCCCCUAAUCAUGUUCCAUCACAAAUUAUUGGAUAUAGUUCCCUGUGAUAUACAGCAGGAUCUCAUUGCUUAUCCAUUCCAAAGGCAAUAGUUUGCAUCCAUUUACCCCAGACUCCCAGUCCUUCUCACUCUCUCCCCCUCCAAGUCCAUCAUUUUUCUUUUCUGUGGAAAGGUUCAUUUGUGCCGUAUAUUAGAUUCCAGAUAUAAGUGAUAUCAUAUGGUAUUUGUUUUUCUGACAUCCUUCACUCAGUAUGAGAGUCUCUAGUUCCAUCCAUGUUGCUGCAAAUGGCAUGAUUUUGUUCUUUUUAUGGCUGAGUAGUAUUCCACUAGUCUGUCAUCCACCUCACUUACUCUUUCUUCUGCCUCUUGUAUUCUGCUGCUGGUUGCUUCUAAUAAAUUUUUUAUUUCCAUUAUUGUAUUUUGCAUCUCUGCUUGCUUAAUCCUUAACUCUUGAAUUUCUUUGCUCAAUAUCUCUUGUAAUUUAUCAAUCUUUGCUUCUAGUUAUUUUCCAAGAUCUUGAAUCAUCUUCGCUAUCAUAAGUCUAAAGUCUUUUUAAUGGAGGCUGAUAAUCUCCAUAUCACUUAUCUGUUUUUCUGGGGUUUUUUCCUUGCUCCCUUAUCUUUCUUGCUCCCUUAUCUGAGUUACAGUUCUCUGCCUUUUCAUUUUUAUAGGUUUUUGGUGUGGUCUCCUUUUUGCAGACAAUAGAGUUGUAACCUCGCUUACUUCUGAACUGAUGUCCACCUCCCUUGUGGUUGGUAUGGGGGCUUACUGUAGGUUUCCUGAUUGGAGAGACUGGUGCCUGCCACUGGUAGGUGGGGCUGAUUCCUUUUCCCUCUGAUGGGCGGGGCUUUGUCUCUGGGUGAGAUUAGAGGCAGGCUGUGGGGGGUUCUUUAGGCAGCCUGUUUGCUGAUGAGUGGGACUGUCUGUGAUCCCACCUGAAUUAUUGUUUGGCCUGGGGCUUCUCAGUGCUGAUGGGUGGGGCCAGAUUUUUCCAAAAUGGCUAUCUCUAGAGGAACAUACACUGAUGAAUAUUCUCAAGAUCUUUGCCUCCAAUGUCCUUCCCCCACAACAAGCCACAGUCACCCCCUUUUCCCCAGGAGAUCCUCCAAGAACUGUGGUCAGGUCCAACCCAGAUUCCUAUGGAGUCUCUGCUUUGCCCUGGGACCCAGUGCGAAUGAAAGCCUUUGUGUGCCUUUCAAGAAUGGGGUCUCCAUUUCCCCCAGUCCCGUGGAGCUCCUGCACACAAGGCCCACAGGCCUUCAAUGCCAUAUGUCCUGGGGGCUCCUUCUUCUAAUGCCAGAUCUGCACGUGUGGGGACCUGACGUGGGGCUCAGAACUCUCUCUUCCAUGGGUGAGUCUCUGUGAUUCAGUUACUUUCUAGUCUGAGGUCUGCCCAUCCAAUGGGUGUGGAGUUGCUUAUAUCACAUAGUCCCCCUUCCUACCAUCCUGAUGUGGCUUCCUCUUUGUCUUCUGGAGCAGGAUAUCUUUUUUGAUAGUUUUCAGCCUAACUGGUUGCAGGUUGUUCAGCAGUUGGUUUUAAUUUUGUUGUCUUUAUGAGAGAAGAUGAGCUCCAGUCCUUCUACUCCACCAUCUUAAUCCCCAGUAUGGCCAUUUUUACAAUAUUAAUUCUUGCAACCCAGGAGCAUGGAAUAUCUUUCCAUUUCUUUGAAUUCUCUUUAAUUUCCUUGAUUAGUGUCUUAUAGUUCUCAGCCUAUAAGUCUUUCCCCUCCUUUAUUAGAGUUCUUCCUAGGUAUUUAAUUUUUUGGGGUGUGAUUUUAAAAGUAUUGUAUUUUUUAUUCCUUUUCUAAUAUUUAAUUGUUAAUAUAUAAAAUGCCACUGAUUUCUGAAUGUUAAUCUUGUAUCCUGCUACGUUGCUGAAUUUGUUAAUCAGUUUGAGUAGUUUUUGUAUGGAAUCCAUAGGGUUUUCUAUAUAUAGUAUCAUGUCAUCUUCAUACAGUGACACUUUUACCACUUCUCUUCCCAUUUGGAUACCUUUUAUUUGUUUUGUAUGUCUGAUUGCUGUGGUUAGGACUUCCAAUACUAUGUUGAACAAAAGAGUGAUGAGAAUGGGCAUCCUAGUCUUGUUCCAGAUUUUUUUUUUUUUUUUUUUUUAGGGCCACACACACGGCACAUGGAGGUUCCCAGGCUAGGGAUCGAAUCAGAGGUACAGUUGCCAGCCUAUGCCACAACCAUAGCAACUCGGAAUCCAAACUGCAUCUUCAACCUACACCGCAGCUCAUGGCAACGCCGGAUCCUUAACCCACUGAGCAAGGCCAGGGAUGGAACCUGCAACCUCAUGUUCUUAGUCGGAUUCCUUUCCACUGCGCCAUGAUGGGAACUCCCUUCUAGAUUUUAAUGGUGCAGAUAAUCUCUGUGGCUGUCACUCUGCUCUGCCCUCCUCAGUCCAGCUGCUGUGCUUUGCCGGAACUUUGAGGUCCCUCCGUUUCAACUGAUCUCCUCAUCAGUUAGGUGGCCUCCCAGGAUGUGGGUUCCUUUUCUCUUUCACAGCUCCCUCUCAGAAUGCUGAUCCCCAAUCCCUUUUCUCUCUUUCUUUUUUUUUUUUUCUUUUGUUCUACCCCGUUAUGUGGAGGGUUUCUUGCCCUUUUUGAAAGUUUAAGUUCUUCUGCCAGCGUUCAGUAGGUGUUCUGUGUGAAUUGUUCUACAUAUAGACGUGUUUUUGUUUUAUGUGUUUGUGGGAGAAGGUGAGUGCGACGCCCUACUCCUCCACCAUCUUGAUCCUUCCCCCUAAACAAGUAGUUUAAAAUGGAAAGAGUUGAACUUCUCUGAAAUGUUGUUAUAAUUAAUUUUAUUAUGAAAAAAUAUACAUGUGUUAAAGUGAAUGAAAUAACUGGAUUUUAGGAAAUAAACAUUUUAAAUAGGAACCACAAAUUGAUGGGUUGUGGGUCUAUGAGGAAUCCACCGAGGCAAAGCUGUGCAAUUUUUUUCUCUCCAUGAACAUAGCACAAAAAUAUACCUGAAAGGAGGUGAUGACUCAUAGAACUACUUUCCCGAAUUAUGAAAGAGAAGCGCUCCUGUGAGGUUAUCUGCCUUGGGAAUAGUAAUUCGCAUGCAUCCCAUUUAAAAGAAACAUCAAUGUAAAUAAAGCAGGCAGCAUUUUAAUAGUCCCACUGAACAUGUGAAGCUACCUCACUCCAGAGCAACCGUCUUCAGAGGAGGAUGUAUGCGGCUGAGGAUACAGGAAGCUUCUCCUAAGCAUCUCCAAAUCCUCAGUUUCUAUAGGUACUGCUUCCUGAACUGAUACAUGCUGAGAAAGCACCCAUAGGCCAAUUGAUUCUACUUUCCCUUUUACCAUCUUCCUUCUCCAGUUUUACAAAGGAAAAGCAUAGCCGAAACUUAGUGUCAAAGUCUAUGGGACACCUAACAAGGCACAAUUUGUAAUACUGGUAUUGGUAAAGCCUCCUUAAGUAAAAGCAUGAUGAACCCAGAGUAGAGCCUCAUGUCUUUUCUGGUCUUAUCUAUCAUGUAAGGAAGAAAAAUGGUGUUAGAAAUGGGAUAGAUUGGAGUUCCCAUUGUGACUCAGCAGAAAUGAACCCAACUAGUAUCCAUGAUAGUUCAAUCCCGAGCUUCACAGCGGGUUAAGGAUCUGGCAUUGCCGUGAGCUGUGGUGUAGGUCAUAGAUGAGGUUCAGAUCCUCUGUUACUGUGGCUGUGUAGGCCAGCAGCUGUAGCUCCAAUUCAGCCCCUAGCCUGGGAACUUCCAUUUGCUAUGGGUGUGACCCUAAAAAGCAAAAAGUGGGAAAAAAAAAAGAGAGAAAUUGGAUAAGUUGCUCACCUCUUCUCUCCUGGCCAAAGCCUGGGGGACUGGAACAAGCAGCCCACGACCAUGUUCCAAUGCAAGCUGACAGCCCUCGAUUACCACAACCCUGCUGGCUUCAACUGGAAAAAAGAAACAGAAUUUAGAAACUUUAUUGAUUAGCUUGAAGACCAGAAAAUCAGACACUUCAAGAUUGAAGACAGGUAAUUUAAGAAACAUCCACAGCAGUGACUGGCCCAAGUUCUUUGAAAAGUGUCUCAGAGAUGUUAACUGUCCCUUCAAGAUUCAGGAUCUGUUGCCGGAAUUCGGCCUAGGUCUGCCAGUGCCAAUUUGAAAUGCAGAGACAGAGUUUGGGGUGAAGGAGAAAAAAAUGUCUUUAUUGCUUUGCCAGGCAAAGGAGGGUCACAGCAGGCUAAUGCCUUAAAGAGUGUACCCCCUCCUUGGGAAGGAUUGCAGGAAGUUUUUUUAUAGUUAAAAGGAGAAAAGCAGGUUUUCAGAUAGGAAUCAGGAUUGGGACAAACAUGCAUUCUUCUUUCUGUGGGGGAAUCUUAGUCAUCAAAGCUGGAGUCAGGAGAUCUUGGUAUGAUCAUGCUGGUGGUCUUCUGGGUUAUUGCCUAGAGUAAGAGUACUUGCGAAAAGGGCAUAUCGAUCAGAGAUUAGAACAAACUAGGAAAGUUCCUGAAAAAUAUCUCCUGCUAAUAAUCUUUAACCCACAGGCAAUUAUGCUCAAGGUGCCUAAUCUUUAGCUUAAGGGUACUUGUGUUUAGGGUGCAAUUAAGGCAGGGAGAAGGACAAGGAAGGACUCUAAGCUGUUCAAUUUUUAAAGUAUUCAUUUCUAAAAGAAGCAUAAGGAAUAUAACUUUUUCCUCAGGGGUAUGCAACGCCUGCAUCAGACUGACCAGCAUUGCCGUGGCUGUGGUAUAGGCCCGCAGCUAUAGCUCCAAUUUGACCUCUAGCCUGGGAACCUCCAUAUGCUGCAUGUGAGGCCCUGAAAAGACAAAAAAAAAAAAAA
rnacentral:lncRNA from 1 species